GGGGGAUAUUGCACAAUGGGGGAAACCCUGAUGCAGCGACGCCGCGUGGAGGAAGAAGGUUUUCGGAUUGUAAACUCCUGUUGUUGGGGAAGAUAAUGACGGUACCUAACAAGAAAGCACCGGCUAACUACGUGCCAGCAGCCGCGGUAAAACGUAGGGUGCAAGCGUUGUCCGGAAUUACUGGGUGUAAAGGGAGCGCAGGCGGACCGGCAAGUUGGAAGUGAAAACUAUGGGCUCAACCCAUAAAUUGCUUUCAAAACUGCUGGCCUUGAGUAGUGCAGAGGUAGGUGGAAUUCCCGGUGUAGCGGUGGAAUGCGUAGAUAUCGGGAGGAACACCAGUGGCGAAGGCGACCUACUGGGCACCAACUGACGCUGAGGCUCGAAAGCAUGGGUAGCAAACAGGAUUAGAUACCCUGGUAGUCCAUGCCGUAAACGAUGAUUACUAGGUGUGGGGGGACUGACCCCUUCCGUGCCGGAGUUAACACAAUAAGUAAUCCACCUGGGGAGUACGACCGCAAGGUUGAAACUCAAAGGAAUUGACGGGGGCCCGCACAAGCAGUGGAGUAUGUGGUUUAAUUCGACGCAACGCGAAGAACCUUACCAAGUCUUGACAUCCCUUGACGAUGCUGGAAACAGUAUUUCUCUUCGGAGCAAGGAGACAGGUGGUGCAUGGUUGUCGUCAGCUCGUGUCGUGAGAUGUUGGGUUAAGUCCCGCAACGAGCGCAACCCUUAUGGUCAGUUACUACGCAAGAGGACUCUGGCCAGACUGCCGUUGACAAAACGGAGGAAGGUGGGGAUGACGUCAAAUCAUCAUGCCCUUUAUGACUUGGGCUACACACGUACUACAAUGGCGUUAAACAAAGAGAAGCAAGACCGCGAGGUGGAGCAAAACUCAGAAACAACGUCCCAGUUCGGACUGCAGGCUGCAACUCGCCUGCACGAAGUCGGAAUUGCUAGUAAUCGUGGAUCAGCAUGCCACGGUGAAUACGUUCCCG
rnacentral:rRNA from 1 species